AGGGGAGUAGCUCAACUGGCAGAGCACCGGUCUCCAAAACCGGCGGUUCCGAGUUCGAGUCUCGGCUCCCCUG
rnacentral:tRNA from 1 species